CCUGCCCCUAGAGACGUUGCAGGUAUGGCUGCCCUCACAUGUGAGUCAGUAGUAGCAGAGAGGAGAGAGGCUAUGUCUGUAAUCAGUGCUCUGACCUGUGAAUAUUUGAAUGAUUAGUAGCCUAACAGU
ensembl:snoRNA LOC120100426 small nucleolar RNA SNORA17